rnacentral:rRNA from 1 species
GACGAACGCUGGCGGCGUGCUUAACACAUGCAAGUCGAACGGAAAGGCCCUGCUUUUGUGGGGUGCUCGAGUGGCGAACGGGUGAGUAACACGUGAGUAACCUGCCCUUGACUUUGGGAUAACUUCAGGAAACUGGGGCUAAUACCGGAUAGGAGCUCCUGCUGCAUGGUGGGGGUUGGAAAGUUUCGGCGGUUGGGGAUGGACUCGCGGCUUAUCAGCUUGUUGGUGGGGUAGUGGCUUACCAAGGCUUUGACGGGUAGCCGGCCUGAGAGGGUGACCGGCCGAGUGGAGGGGGGGACGGGGCACGGACGGGUGCGGGGGGCAGCGGUGGGGAGAAGUGACGGCUGAGGGAGGGCCGGAGGAGGCAGCGCGGGGGGCGGGGCGCCGGCGUGGGGUUUUGACCCGGGUUUGGGGGGGGAGGGGGGGGGAGGGGCGGUAAUGGGAAAAGAAGCACCGGCUAAUUACGCCCCAGGGGCGCGGUAAUAGACGGAGGAGCAGCCGGCUGAAC